rnacentral:rRNA from 1 species
GUGCCAGCAGCCGCCGCGGUAAUACGGGGGGUGCAAGCGUUGUUCGGAAUUAUUGGGCGUAAAGAGCGUGUAGGCGGCUGAAUAAGUCAGAUGUGAAAUCCCUGGGCUUAACCCAGGAAGUGCAUUUGAAACUAUUCAGCUUGAGUAGGGGAGAGGAAAGUGGAAUUCCUGGUGUAGAGGUGAAAUUCGUAGAUAUCAGGAGGAACACCGGUGGCGAAGGCGACUUUCUGGCCCUAUACUGACGCUGAGACGCGAGAGCGUGGGUAGCAAACAGGAUUAGAUACCCUGGUAGUCCACGCUG